rnacentral:rRNA from 1 species
AUUGAACGCUGGCGGCAGGCCUAACACAUGCAAGUCGAGCGGAGUGGUGGACGGGUGAGUAAUGCCUAGGAAUCUGCCUGGUAGUGGGGGAUAACGUCCGGAAACGGGCGCUAAUACCGCAUACUAUCAGAUGAGCCUAGGUCGGAGUAGCUAGUUGGUGGGGUAAAGGCCUACCAAGGCGACGAUCCGUAACUGGUCUGAGAGGAUGAUCAGUAACAGUGGAAAUUGGACCCGGUCCAGACUCCUACGGGAGGCAGCAGGGGGGAGUAUUGGACAAGGGGCGAUAGCCUGAUCCAGCCUGGCCGCGUGUGUGAAGAAGGUCUUCGGAUUUUAAGGCACUUUAAGUUGGGAGGCGGUACCAACAGAAUAAGCACCGGCUAACUUCGUGCCAGCAGCCGCGGUAAUUC